rnacentral:rRNA from 1 species
UGAGGAAUUUUCUGCAAUGGGCGAAAGCCUGAUCCAGCCAUGCCGCGUGUGUGAAGAAGGUCUUCGGAUUGUAAAGCACUUUACGUUGGGAGGAAGGGCAUUAACCUAAUACGUUAGUGUUUUGACGUUACCGACAGAAUAAGCACCGGCUAACUCUGUGCCAGCAGCCGCGGUAAUACAGAGGGUGCAAGCGUUAAUCGGAAUUACUGGGCGAAAAGCGCGCGUAGGUGGUUUGUUAAGUUGGAUGUG